rnacentral:rRNA from 1 species
UACGAACUGCGCGAACGUUAUUCGGAAUCACUGGGCUUACAGGGUGCGUAGGCGGCCGUUCAGGUCCGAUGUGAAAUCCCCCGGCUCAACCGGGGAAUGGCAUUGGAAACCGGGCGGCUCGAGUGAGCUAGAGGUACACGGAACUUUCGGUGGAGCGGUGAAAUGUGUUGAGAUCGGAAGGAACACCAGAGGCGAAAGCGGUGUACUGGGGCUUGUCUGACGCUGAGGCACGAAAGCCAGGGGAGCGAACGGG